rnacentral:rRNA from 1 species
GACGAACGCUGGCGGCGUGCCUAAUACAUGCAAGUCGAACGCAGUGGGGACGGGGGAGUAACACGUGGGUAACCUCCCAUCAGAGGGGAUAACACUAGGACAAAGGUGCUAAACCGAUAUUGCUGGAUGGACCCGCGGUGCAUUGGCUAGUUGGUGAGGUAACGGCUCACCAAGGCCACGAUGCAUAGCUGACCGGGGGGGUGAACCGGCGAGAUUGGUACUUGGAAACGGCCCAGACUCCUCGGGAAGGCAGCAGUAGGGAAGUUUCGGAAAUGGACGAAAUUCGUACCGAGCAUGGCCGCUUGAGUGAAGAAGGUUUUCGGAUCGUAAAGCUCUGUUGUUAGAGAGGCGGUAUCUAACCAGAAAGCCACGGCUAACUACGUGCCAGCAGCCGCGGUAAUAC